GACGAACGCUGGCGGCGUGCUUAACACAUGCAAGUCGAGCGGAAAGGCCACUUCGGUGGUACUCGAGCGGCGAACGGGUGAGUAACACGUGAGUAAUCUGCCCUUGGCUUUGGGAUAGCCACCGGAAACGGUGAUUAAUACCGGAUACGACCACUUCUCGCAUGGGAUGGUGGUGGAAAGUUUUUCGGCCAGGGAUGUGCUCGCGGCCUAUCAGCUUGAUGGUGAGGUAAUGGCUCACCAUGGCUUCGACGGGUAGCCGGCCUGAGAGGGUGACCGGUCACACUGGGACUGAGACACGGCCCAGACUCCUACGGGAGGCAGCAGUGGGGAAUAUUGGACAAUGGGCGGAAGCCUGAUCCAGCAACGCCGCGUGAGGGAUGACGGCCUUCGGGUUGUAAACCUCUUUCGGUGGGGACGAAGCGCAAGUGACGGUACCCACUAAAGAAGCACCGGCCAACUAUGUGCCAGCCGCCGCCGUAAGAC
rnacentral:rRNA from 1 species